CGGUGGUUGCCAUUCUAUGGUUUGCCACUCUAUUCCGAGCUCCACACCUGAACACACUCCUCCUAUUAUUAGAACUGGGCUACAUUUUGAUAGCUGCAGCCCGCUCCACCAGUGGCUCCUGUAGGACGAAUCUACUCCAGGUGCCUGAAGCUAAGGCUGGAAACCUUCGCUCCGUUCCAACGACAUUUCGCCGACAACUACUGCAAUCACGAGUUUUUUUUUUUAUCUUGUAUUUGUGUGAAUUGUACAUUUUUGAGGAAUAUAACUAUGAAAGUGCAAUA